CUACGGGGCGCUCCAGUCGUGAAUCUUUUACAAUGCACGAAAGUGUGAUAAAGCGAACCAAAGUGUUUUCCGCACAGGAAAACUUUUUCUUACUUUAAAACGGUAGGAGAAUAAGGACUGGGCAAAACUAGUGCCAGCCGCCGCGGUAAUACUAGUGGUCCAAGUUGCAACCACAAUUAUUGGGUCUAAAACAUCCGUAGCUUGUGAAAUAAGUUUCUUGUGAAAUUUCAUGUCUCAAGCAUGAAGCGUGCAAGAAAUACUAUUUGACUAGAGACCGGUAGAUGUAAGGAGUAUGUUUGAGGUAGCGGUUGAAUGUGUUAAUCUUAAACAGACUAACAAUGAGCGAAGGCACCUUACAAGGACGGAUCUGACAGUGAGGGAUGAAAGCCAGGGGCGCAAAGCGGAUUAGUACCCUAGUAGUC
rnacentral:rRNA from 1 species